rnacentral:tRNA from 1 species
UUAUUGUUAGUUAAUAAUAAUAUCAACAUGUCAUGUUGAAGUUACCCCUUAGUACAAUAAUAAA